UAAAAUGUGAAGACAAGAUUAGAGAAAAAAAGAAUGAAAAGGAACAAACAAAGCCUCCAAGAAAUAUAGGACUAUGUGAAAAGACCAAACCUACGUUUGAUUGGCACACCUCAAAGUGACGGGGAGAAUGGAACAAAGUUGGAAAAUACUCUGCAGGAUAUUAUCCAGGAGAACUUCCCCAACCUAGCAAGAGAGGCUAACAUUCAAAUUCAGGAAAUUCAGAGAACACCACUAAGAUACUCCUCGAGAAAGAGCAACAUAAUCGUCAAGAUUCACAAAGGUUGAAAUGAAGGAAAAAAUGUUAAGGGCAGCCAGAGAGAAAGGUCGGGUUACCCACAAAGGGAAGCCAUCAGACUAACAGCAGGUCUCUCUGCAGAAACCCUACAAGCCAGAGGAGAGUGGAGGCCAAUAUUCAACAUUCUUAAAAGAA
rnacentral:lncRNA from 1 species